CUGGGACCCCCAAAAUCCUCCUGGGAUCCCCAAAAUCCCUCUUGGGACCCCCAAAAUCCCUCCUGGGACCCCCAAAAAUCCUCCAGAGAGACCCCCGAGGUUCCACCUUCUUUUAUUGGCACCGUGCACAGUUGUGGGGGGGACGCCGUGGGGCAGGAUCCCCCCUCUAUGGGGCAGGGAGCCCACCAGGGACCCCCUGCUAUGGGGCAGGACCCCCAGUUUGGGGCAAAACACCCCAAUUUUGGGGCAAAACCCUCAAUUUAUGGGGCAAAACCCUCAAUUUAUGGGGCAAAACCCCCCAUUUAUGGGGCUGGGCUUUGCUAUGGGGCAGAACCCCCCGAGUUAUGGGGCAGGGGGGUCCAUCCCUGCUAUGGGGCGGGGGUGCAGGGUCCGGGCGUGGCCCCGCAGAGCCUCAAAUUCCCUCUGGACAAAAUCGGUCAGCGCCUUCCGGAGCUCCACCUGUGGGGCAGGGAGGGACGGAUCUGUGGGGCUGGGAAAUGGAUCCGUGGGGCUGGGAACUGGAUCUGUGGGGCUGGGAGCUGGAUCUGUGGGGCAGGGAGGGACGGAUCUGUGGGGCUGGGAACUGGAUCUGGGGGCAGGGAGGGGCGGAUCUAUGGGGCUGGGAAAUGGGGAUGUGUGGGGCUGGGAGCCAUGGAUCUGUGGGGCAGGGAACUGGGGAUGUGUGGGGCUGGGAAAUGGAUCUAUGGGGCUGGGGGAUGCACAGAUCUAUGGGGCAGAGCAGGAGCUGCUCCCAAUCCAUGGGUCAGACACAUGCUAAAAUCUAUGGGGUGCCAGUCCUAAAAGUAUGGGGCAAAACCUUCCAGAUCUAUGGGGUGAAUCCCCCCAAAUCUAUGGGGCAAAGCCUCUCAAAUCUAUGGGGUAAAAGACCCCAAAUCUAUGGGGUAAAACCUCCCCAGAUCUAUGGGGUGAAAACUCCCAAAUCUCUGGGUCAGGAACCCCAAAUCUCUGGGUCAGGAACCCCAAAUCUCUGGGUCAGAACCCCCCAAAUCUAUGGGUCAGAACCCCCCAAAUCUAUGGGGCAAAGCCUCCCAAAUCUAUGGGUCAGGAACCCCAAAUCUCUGGGUAAAACCCCCCAAAUCUAUGGGUCAGAAUCCCCCCAGAUCUAUGGGGCAGCCCCCAAUGUGGGGGUCCCAGCCCCCCCAAAUCUAUGGGGCAGCCCCACACGAGGGGGUCCCAGCCCCCCCAGAUCUAUGGGGCAGCCCCCAAUGUGGGGGUCCCAGCCCCCCCAGAUCUAUGGGGC
rnacentral:lncRNA from 1 species